GUAGGGAAUAUUGCGCAAUGGACGAAAGUCUGACGCAGCGACGCCGCGUGAGUGAUGAAGGCCUUAGGGUCGUAAAGCUCUGUUGAAUGGGAAGAAAAAAAUGACGGUACCAUUCGAGGAAGGACCGGCUAACUUCGUGCCAGCAGCCGCGGUAAUACGAGGGGUCCUAGCGUUGUUCGGAAUCAUUGGGCGUAAAGGGUGUGUAGGUGGCCAUGUAAGUCAGGUGUGAAAGCGCCGGGCUCAACCCGGGAAGUGCACUUGAUACUGCGUGGCUUGAGUACCGAAGAGGGUAGUGGAAUUCCAGGUGUAGUGGUGAAAUACGUAGAUAUCUGGAGGAACACCGGUGGCGAAGGCGGCUACCUGGUCGAGUACUGACACUGAGACACGAAAGCAUGGGGAUCAAACAGGAUUAGAAACCCGUGUAGUCC
rnacentral:rRNA from 1 species